UUCGGGCCAGAAUAAAUUGGCCGUAAUAACAAGGCCGUAUUAACAGGGCGACCGUAAGGUGGGGUACCACUGUACAUCUUUCGGGUGUUUCCUCCGGGACUUAUGUAUUAUUUCGAUCAGUCAAUAUGUCCACCGCUGUGUUUCAAAAUGGUCGCGUCCAAAGUUUGAUCAGGCAUCACGCACGGACCAGUGGAUUCGUUAGAGCAAGUGUCUCAGUAAGAGGUGAACUCCUCAGUGAGAUCUGCGGGAGACUGAGAACCUGUGAUCAACCCACACCUAGUCUGAGUACCACCUCUGGUGAAUAAUAAGAAUAUCACCCGGGAAUAUCAGACCGCUCAAAGUUAAAGAGCUCAAGCUGGUUGAUAGGUCAAACUUCCCACGUACCAAAUAUUACGAGAACCACUUUCUGGGUCAGUUUUGCCGCCUCGUGCAGAAUGUGAAAAUUCGCAUGGCAACUGAAAGUUGAGUUUACUAACAGUGAAAUAUUUUACCAAGUGCCUCAAGCACCUACUAAAUCAAGGCACGAUUCGAUUUAUUUUUACAGACAAUUCUUUGAUCCUCAAAAACAUGCCAAGAUCCAUAUGGUCUCGCCGACAAUAAUGGUUUGAUUUAGCCAAACAAAGCAAAGCAACGGGCAGGAACUCUAAGGAAGUGACAAAGUCAAGCGAGGGCGAGAACGGAAGGCUGAAUGAAAAGAUAGACCCAGGGCAAAGCACAUAAAAAGAUGGAGGUCAAAGCAUAAGUUACACCCCCAAAUGGCAAGGCCCACAAGAGAUCAAUUCGUCGUCAGGAGCGAGAAGGCAGUCCAAAAUGCUACCACUGUGACAGGGAC